rnacentral:rRNA from 1 species
UACGGGGGGGGCAAGCGUUGUUCGGAAUUACUGGGCGUAAAGGGCUCGUAGGCGGCCAACUAAGUCGGAUGUGAAAUCCCCAGGCUUAACCUGGGAACUGCAUCCGAUACUGGAUGGCUUGAAUUCGGGAGAGGGAUGCAGAAUUCCAGGUGUAGCGGUGAAAUGCGUAGAUAUCAGGAGGAACACCGGUGGCGAAGGCGGGUCUCUGGGCCGAUACUGACGCUGAGGAGCGAAAGCGUGGGGAGCGAACAGG